GUCUACGGCCAUGCCACCCUGAACAAGCCUGAUGUCUGAUCUCGGAAGCUAAGCAGGGUCAGGCCUGGUUAGUACUUGGAUGGGAGACCACCUAGGAAGACCAGGUGCUGUAGGCA
rnacentral:rRNA from 1 species